ensembl:piRNA 21ur-4667 ncRNA
UCCGUGAAGAGUUUCGGCGUA